UACGUAGGGUGCGAGCGUUGUCCGGAAUUAUUGGGCGUAAAGAGCUCGUAGGCGGUGUGUCGCGUCGGCCGUGAAAACCUGGGGCUCAACUCUGGGCGUGCGGUCGAUACGGGCAUCACUGGAGUUCGGCAGGGGAGACUGGAAUUCCUGGUGUAGCGGUGAAAUGCGCAGAUAUCAGGAAGAACACCCGUGGCUAAGGCGGCUCUCUAGUACGGUACUGACGCUGAGACGCGAAAGCGUGGGGAGCGAACAGG
rnacentral:rRNA from 1 species